ACGGUCAGUUCCGAGACCCCAGGAUAAAGGAUGACUUGGGCGCCAUUUAUAAAGUUCCCACUCAGCUGCUGUUUGAAGGUUAUGCCGGGGAAGCUAAGAGAAUGUUGGAUUUUAUUAAGGAACGAUUCCUACAACCCAAUGGCGACUUUUUGUCUCAUCCAGAAAUUAAGGGCUGGAAAGGGAAAACCGACGAUUGGCACAUAUCUUACUUAUGGGGCUAUACUAAUGGGUGGAUUGCCAUGGCGGCACAAAGAGCGGGAAGAUAUGACAUAGCCAUUCCCGCCAUAAAUUACAUGAGAACAUUCUACAAUCCCGUCCAGAAGGCCUUCACCUGGUAUGAACCUUAUAGAAGUGAUGGUGGUGGAAAGGGCCUGGAACAGACUCUUUGUUCUUUCUACGCCGCCCAUGUUGGAUUCAUCAUGUUAUUUUUUGGUGACAUAUCAACUGCUGUAGAAUGUGGAAACUUUAUCAAGAAAGUUGUUGAUCUUCAACCGAGAAUGGACGACGAGUUUUUCUUAAAAAUUCGCGGAGACACUGGAGAUUUGUUCAUAGAUGGUAUCCCGGGUGACAAGAGAGAUUUCUUCACUUGUAAAAGAGAUGCGCCGAAUCAGCGGUACUAUCACCUUGGUUACCCAGUUAUGUUUCUGGUCAAGUUGUAUCUCGCGACACGGGAUGAGAAGUAUAUGGUUACAGCUAGAACUAUCCUGGAAUUCACAGUUUCUUGUGGGGCUCCUGUCUACACAUAUAAUAAAAGUCACAAGGUCAUGUAUGGCGCUGCGUUAUUUGCCGCCGUAACAAAAGAGAAAGCCUACAAGGAAAUGGCGGAGAAAAUAGCUGAGAAUAUGUUGAAUUACCAGGAUAAGGAGGGGCGUUUCCUGCCGGACUCCACCAUUAUAGAAACAUACGAUCAAACAGCAGAGAACUGUGGCUGGUUCAGGGAAAUAUUUGCCGAAUUUCAAAAUUUCUAAACUUUUUUUUUCUCUCUUUUCAAUGUGACAUCCCGUUCAGAAAUUUUAGAUGGCCGAAAUAACCAUUAGGCCCCUUUUCUAUGUACGCGUUUGUGCCGGUUAUACGGAAACAGUCCCAUUACAUUAGCGUUAGAUCGACUAUUUCUACGGCGAAUACGCCGCAUAAACACGCACUUGGACAACGGGCCUUUCAAAAUCAAGUAGACUAUAUUUUUCUCAUCAGCGAUUGUUCACAAAAUAUGUUUUACUUUUCAAUGUCAUAAUAUACCGUAUCGAUCAGAAUCACCCUUUAAAUCUUCAAAUUUAACAACAAUUGUCUAGUCAGUGGUCGUUUCCUCCCUGACUAAAACCC